rnacentral:rRNA from 1 species
AACGAACGCUGGCGGCAUGCCUAACACAUGCAAGUCGAACGAGACCUUCGGGUCUAGUGGCGCACGGGUGCGUAACGCGUGGGAAUCUGCCCUUAGGUACGGAAUAAACUCAGGGAAACUUGAGCUAAUACCGUAUAAUGACUUCGGUCCAAAGAUUUAUCGCCUAAGGAUGAGCCCCGCGUCGGAUUAGCUAGUUGGUGAGGUAAAAGCUCACCAAGGCGACGAUCCGUANCUGGCUGAGAGGAUGAUCAGCCACACUGGGACUGAGACACGGCCCAGACUCCGUACGGGAGGCAGCAGGUGGGGAAUAUUGGACAA